GGAUCCAGACUUUGAUUAUGGCUCAGGACGAACGCUGGCGGCGUGCCUAACACAUGCAAGUCGAACGAAGCUUGACGAAUGAUUUCUUCGGAAUGAAAUCUGAUAUGACUGAGUGGCGGACGGGUGAGUAACGCGUGAGCAACCUGCCCUUCGGAACGGGAUAGUGUCUGGAAACGGACAGUAAUACCGUAUAACGUAUUUUUACCGCAUGAUAGAAAUGCCAAAACUGAGGUGCCGAAGGAUGGGCUCGCGUCUGAUUAGAUAGUUGGUGGGGUAACGGCCUACCAAGUCGACGAUCAGUAGCCGGACUGAGAGGUUGAACGGCCACAUUGGGACUGAGACACGGCCCAGACUCCUACGGGAGGCAGCAGUGGGGAAUAUUGCACAAUGGGGGAAACCCUGAUGCAGCAACGCCGCGUGAAGGAAGACGGUUUUCGGAUUGUAAACUUCUGUUCUUAGUGAAGAAUAAUGACGGUAGCUAAGGAGCAAGCCACGGCUAACUACGUGCCAGCAGCCGCGGUAAUACGUAGGUGGCAAGCGUUGUCCGGAAUUACUGGGUGUAAAGGGAGCGUAGGCGGGAUGCCAAGUCAGCUGUGAAAACUAUGGGCUUAACCUGUAGACUGCAGUUGAAACUGGUAUUCUUGAGUGAAGUAGAGGUUGGCGGAAUUCCGAGUGUAGCGGUGAAAUGCGUAGAUAUUCGGAGGAACACCGGUGGCGAAGGCGGCCAACUGGGCUUUAACUGACGCUGAGGCUCGAAAGUGUGGGGAGCAAACAGGAUUAGAUACCCUGGUAGUCCACACUGUAAACGAUGAUAACUAGGUGUGGGGGGUCUGACCCCUUCCGUGCCGCAGCUAACGCAAUAAGUUAUCCACCUGGGGAGUACGACCGCAAGGUUGCAACUCAAAUGAAUUGACGG
rnacentral:rRNA from 1 species